GACGAACGCUGGCGGCGUGCUUAACACAUGCAAGUCGAACGGAAAGGCCCUGCUUUUGUGGGGUGCUCGAGUGGCGAACGGGUGAGUAACACGUGAGUAACCUGCCCUUGACUUUGGGAUAACUUCAGGAAACUGGGGCUAAUACCGGAUAGGAUCUCCUGCUGCAUGGUGGGGGUUGGAAAUUUUCGGCGGUUGGGGAUGGACGCGCGGCUUAUCAGCUUGUUGGUGGGGUAGUGGCUUACCAAGGCUUUGACGGGUAGCCGGCCUGAGAGGGUGACCGGCCACAUUGGGACUGAGAUACGGCCCAGACUCCUACGGGAGGCAGCAGUGGGGAAUAUUGCACAAUGGGCGGAAGCCUGAUGCAGCAACGCCGCGUGCGGGAUGACGGCCUUCGGGUUGUAAACAGCUUUCGCCUGUGACGAAGCGUGAGUGACGGUAAUGGGUAAAGAAGCACCGGCUAACUACGUG
rnacentral:rRNA from 1 species